rnacentral:rRNA from 1 species
GACGAACGCUGGCGGCGUGCUUAACACAUGCAAGUCGAACGGAAAGGCCCUGCUUGCCGGGUGCUCGAGUGGCGAACGGGUGAGUAACACGUGGGUGAUCUGCCCCUUACUUUGGGAUAUGCCUGGGAAACUGGGUCUAAUACUGGAUAGGACCAUGCUGUAGGUGGUGUGGUGGAAAGAUCAGUUUCGGUAAGGGAUGAGCUCGCGGCCUAUCAGCUUGUUGGUGGGGUAAUGGCCUACCAAGGCGUCGACGGGUAGCCGGCCUGCGAGGGUGGACGGCCGCAUUGGGACUGAGAUACGGCCCAGACUCCUACGGGAGGCAGCAGUGGGGAAUAUUGCACAAUGGGCGCAAGCCUGAUGCAGCGACGCCGCGUGGGGGAUGACGGCCUUCGGGUUGUAAACUCCUUUCAGCCAUGACGAAGCCCUUGUGGUGACGGUAGUGGUAGAAGAAGCACCGGCUAACUACGUG